GGUUUUCCAGUGGUGCCAACUUUAUCUUACCCAGACAGUGAUCCUGUGUGUGUUUAGGUCCCAGGGAGAAGGGACAAUUUAGUGUGUAGAUAUGGAAAAAACUGUUUGCAGAGUAAUUUUAGCCCUCCUUUGCCAAGGCAAUUCCCCAAAUUGCAAAAAUAUUGCCAGAAUCUCUUAGCCUGCAGCUAUUCUAGUGCCAAGGGGUAUAAAAAGGUAAUAUUCCUCCCCAUAAGAGGUUUCUGCUCUGUCUGUCUAUACAACAGUGUUGCCUUGCCAUGCUAAAGGGACUUCUUAUUCCAUGUCUCACAUACCAUCUUGAUUUCCUUGUUUUUCCUCAAGCAGAGCCCUCAGAGUGAUGCUGUACUUAAAACAAACAAACAAACAAACAAAAAACCAACAAAACAAAACCCUGCAGUUCCUUUCUUAAGGCAGCAAUACGAAAGAGGUUCUUGCUGGCAAAGCUUUUUUCUCUCUGAACACCAAGAAAUCAUUUUAACAAGCCCUGGAGUUGAUAUCAUGUUGGUUUUUUUUUUUACAGCAGGGAGGAGUGUGAAACCCUGCUUUCCUCCACAGAUACAUGUGGGAUGGCUUUGGAGCAAACCUGGCAAGCGAGCCUGUGGUUAUUGGUCUGACAGGCACAAGAGCAGAGGGUGCUGCCACUCUCCUGUGAAGCCAUAGGAAGUGUUUCAUGAUUCAAGAUAAAACCUUCACU
rnacentral:lncRNA from 1 species